rnacentral:rRNA from 1 species
UACGAGGGGGGCUAAUGUUGUUCGGAAUCACUGGGCGUAAAGGGAGCGUAGGCGGGUGUUUAAGUUAGGUGUUUAAUCCCAGGGCCCAACCCUGGUCAGGCACCUAAAACUGGACAUCUUGAAUAGUGGAGAGGAAGAUGGAAUUGGGGGUGUAGCGGUGGAAUGCGUAGAGAUCCCCAAGAACACCAGUUGCGAAGGCGGUCGUCUGGACACAUAUUGACGCUGAGGCUCGAAAGCAUGGGGAGCAAACAGG